AAUUAUUGUUACAUAUUUUCUAUAAAUUAUUCUUGUGUAUGAUACAAACUUCUUUUUUAAAACUUGUAAAAUUUGCAUUAAAGGGGCACUAGCUACGAGAUGUAUGAAAAAUCAUAUAUAUAUUAUUUUUUUGGCUCAAUCAUUAAUGAAAUGCAAAUAGUGAGAUAAUAAUUGGCUUUUAGCAGCCAGUAUGGUUCAAUUUUGUCAAAAUAAGCUAAAACAAAUUGAUUAUGAAUAAUUCACUUGCAAGUGAAUAAUUCGACCUCAUUAAAUCCGUAUUCAUGUAAUCUUCAAUUUAACCCCUUAGCUUGAGAUGGAUAACACGUGAAUUGCAUGUAUAAAGUUAUUGAAAGGAAAAGAAUGUCAACAUUGGAAGUGAAACAAAGGUUAAUCAUUUGAUUGACUGAUUCGAUCCACAAAAAUCUUUCUUAGUACAGGUAAAAACCAGGAUAAACAUUUAAAGUUCAUCUACAAUGUGAAAUUAAAUAGACCUAGAAAAAUUUUACAGCACGAGUUUGCUUAAUCUAUUUAUAUCUAUAUUUAUGUUUACAUCGCUUAAAUGGUCAUCGGAUAAUUCUAGAUGGUUAAUUAGAUGGCGUCUUGAUAAAAGUACACGCGAAACAAAACUACGUAUUUUCAUGCCCGUGUCCUGUUAAUUAUUUUAUGUUUUUUACUUUAAAUAGUUUGGAUAAAUGUUUUAAAAAUCGGUAAACAUGAAUUUGACUGUCUAGUGCUCCUUUAAAAGAAACCACUUGCACGAUGUACACAAACAAUGUGUAAAUAAGUGUUCAGUAUACUAAUUCUACAUUGAUUUGUGUUGCUAUAACAUCAAUUGGAAACACAUGACGGAGUGAUGUAACUUGUUUUUAAGUCAAAUAAAAGAUUAGUAAUUAUAUGUAUUGAACACCAU
rnacentral:lncRNA from 1 species